GUAGGUGGCAAGCGUUGUCCGGAAUUAUUGGGGCGUAAAGCGCGCGCAGGCGGUUCUUUAAGUCUGAUGUGAAAGCCCACGGGCUCAACCGCGGAGGGUCAUUGGAAACUGGAGAACUUGAGUACAGAAGAGGAAAGCGGAAUUCCACGUGUAGCGGUGAAAUGCGUAGAGAUGUGGAGGAACACCAGUGGCGAAGGCGGCUUUCUGGUCUGUAACUGACGCUGAGGCGCGAAAGCGUGGGGAGCAAACAGGAUUAGAUACCCUGGUAGUCCACGCCGUAAACGAUGAGUGCUAAGUGUUAGGGGGUUUCCGCCCCUUAGUGCUGCAGCUAACGCAUUAAGCACUCCGCCUGGGGAGUACGGCCGCAAAGGCUG
rnacentral:rRNA from 1 species